AUUGAACGCUGGCGGCAAGCCUAACACAUGCAAGUCGAACGAGUGGCGGACGGGUGAGAAAUGUCUGGGAAACUGCCUGAUGGAGGGGGAUAACUAGUAGAAACGGUAGCUAAUACCGCAUACCAUGGGAUGUGCCCAGAUGGGAUUAGAUAGGGGGUGGGGUAAAGGCUCACCUAGGCGACGAUCCCUAGCUGGUCUGAGAGGAUGACCGGCCACACUGGGACUGAGACACGGUCCAGACUCCUACGGGAGGCAGCAGUAGGGAAUAUUCGGCAAUGGGCGAAAGCCUGAUCGAGCCACGCCGCGUGAGUGAAGAAGGUCUUCGGGUUGUAAAGUUCUGUUGUUGGAGAAGCGUUAUCUAACGAAAAAGCACCGGCUAACUCCGUGCCAGCAGCCGCGGUAAUAC
rnacentral:rRNA from 1 species